UAAUAUUAUACACGUAUAGGUCGCGUAGUAGCCGUUCGCAUUCAUUGGUCACACGCCACUCUCGCUUUUGUUAUACGCUGGCGUUGGAAGCAAACAAUUUUACUGCACGUGUUUAUUUUUAUUUGCCAGCGUAUAAAAACAUCAAAGGUCACCUAAUGUUAAUGUCUCCGAAGUGUAAACAGUACAUCGAUUACAACUGUGCAGGUCCGACUGAAUAUUUAAAAAGAAAACUCGUCGUUUUUUCAAUGCUUGUUAAAUAUUUCUCAAUCUAUUUUGACUGAACUAUAUACUAUUGUUAAUUUAGAAUCAAAUGUUUUUCAAUAAUUUUACUUAUUUAUUAAUUUUAAAUAAAAACAAUUUUGAAUUGUCUGUCAUUAUUAUAUGUACUCUGAAUAGUCUAAUACGUGUAGGUAAAUAGUGUACACUGGUUUACAAGCAAAUCAGCGUUGGUGUACCUCACUUUGUAAACUAAUUCAACUGAGAUGGUCAAUUCGGCUGUGGUGAUUUGGAUAUAGCACUUGAGUCGCCGGAGAUUAUACCGCCCGUUGAUUGACGACCGGUAACAAGCAGCCGUAGAACAAUCCAUUCGAAGAAUAUUGUUGUCGUUUGGAGACGACAAGAGUCGCUUGGCACAACAUCCUAGCUAGAAUUUAUGCAAUGUGAUAGACGUGAUGAUUAGACAAUACAGCAGGUGCACGUCACACGGCAAAAAUCUCGAUAUCCAACUUGAAACAAAACGGCGCAGAGGUAUAACAUUACGCAAAGUGAUAAAUUGUUAUCAACCAAGUAACCAACCAACUACGUCUACUUAGCUACUUGUAAUUCACAACUCCACUUAUCUAAAUUUAAAAUAUUUAUUAAUAACUAUAAAUUGUUCAAUAUAUGAUAUUUAUUGUAUUUUAUACACACAUUUUUUUU